rnacentral:rRNA from 1 species
CCCGCCGGCGACCGGCGCACGGGUGAGUAACACGUAUGCAACCUGCCCUCCGCAGGGGGAUAACCCGGAGAAAUCCGGACUAAUACCGCGUGGUACACCAGUGGGGCAUCCCACGGGUGUUAAAAGGAAGCGAUUCCGGCGGAGGAUGGGCAUGCGGCGCAUUAGCUUGUUGGCGGGGUAACGGCCCACCAAGGCGACGAUGCGUAGGGGUUCUGAGAGGAAGGUCCCCCACACUGGUACUGAGACACGGACCAGACUCCUACGGAAGGCAGCAG